GGACGAACGCUGGCGGCGUGCUUAACACAUGCAAGUCGAACGGAAAGGCCCUGCUUGCAGGGUACUCGAGUGGCGAACGGGUGAGUAACACGUGGGUGAUCUGCCCUGCACUUCGGGAUAAGCCUGGGAAACUGGGUCUAAUACCGGAUAGGAGCCAUUUUUAGUGUGAUGGUUGGAAAGUUUUUUCGGUGUAGGAUGAGCUCGCGGCCUAUCAGCUUGUUGGUGGGGUAAUGGCCUACCAAGGCGGCGACGGGUAGCCGGCCUGAGAGGGUGGACGGCCACAUUGGGACUGAGAUACGGCCCAGACUCCUACGGGAGGCAGCAGUGGGGAAUAUUGCACAAGGGGCGCAAGCCUGAUGCAGCGACGCCGCGUGGGGGAUGACGGCCUUCGGGUUGUAAACUCCUUUCGCUAGGGACGAAGCUUUUUGUGACGGUACCUAGAUAAGAAGCACCGGCUAACUACGUG
rnacentral:rRNA from 1 species